rnacentral:rRNA from 1 species
UACGAGGGGCUAGCGUUGCUCGGAAUCACUGGGCGUAAAGGGUGCGUAGGCGGGUCUUUAAGUCAGGGGUGAAAUCCUGGAGCUCAACUCCAGAACUGCCUUUGAUACUGAGGAUCUUGAGUUCGGGAGAGGUGAGUGGAACUGCGAGUGUAGAGGUGAAAUUCGUAGAUAUUCGCAAGAACACCAGUGGCGAAGGCGGCUCACUGGCCCGAUACUGACGCUGAGGCACGAAAGCGUGGGGAGCAACAGG